rnacentral:tmRNA from 1 species
CCCCUUUUAUUUGCCGACGCAAGACCCUAUAUCUGGCGUGCCGGUUCGCCGGCUAUGGCAAUAAAUGGUCAGUGCAAUAAACCUAUCGGACCCGGGGGCGGUACCCGGCGCCUCCACCCAAGCGCAUCGAGGACGGACAAAGUUCAGCGGUGUGUUUCGGCGGGGGCGAAACAGGAUCGACGAGGGCGUAAAGACUGUGCUUUUGCUCGGCAUGGUACCACCGACAUCGGGCCAUCCUAAUAGUUGCAAAUGACAACUAUGCUUCGGACAUGGCUGUUGCUGCGUAACGCAGUACCGGUCGUCCAUUAAAGUCCUGUCGGGUAGCACCGUCAGGCGGGGUUCGGAGGCACCUGGCAACAGAAGCCUCCACU